UGGGGAAUAUUGGACAAUGGGCGAAAGCCUGAUGCAGCAACGCCGCGUGGGGGAAGAAGGCCUUCGGGUCGUAAACCCCUUUUCUGAGGGAAGAGAAAGGACGGUACCUCAGGAAUAAGUCUCGGCUAACUACGUGCCAGCAGCCGCGGUAAUACGUAGGAGGCGAACGUUAUCCGGAAUUACUGGGCGUAAAGCGCACGCAGGCGGCUUCGUAAGUCCGACGUGAAAGCUCCCGGCUCAACUGGGAGAGGCCGUUGGAUACUGCGAAGCUCGAGGUUGGGAGAGGAAAGUGGAAUUCCCGGUGUAGUGGUGGAAUGCGUAGAUAUCGGGAGGAACUCCAGUGGCGAAAGCGACUUUCUAGCCUACACCUGACGCUGAGGUGCGAAAGCGUGGGGAGCGAACAGG
rnacentral:rRNA from 1 species